AAUUACAUGUGCUACAACUCUUAGGGAAAGGUCUGUGUGUGGGUAGAGGGGAAAAAUUUUUUUAAAAGAGACCAGAUAGGGAUGGGAGUAAUAAAGAGUCCAAUGCACGGAUGCGUACACACAUACACACACCCUAAGGACAGGGAGUCCCAACAGCUCACUUUUACCACGGGUUACUGUUUUGACGAGUGGGCCACAAGCAGUAUAUCCACCAGCUUUUCCCCCUCCCUCAUUAUUUUCUCUGCAGAAAGCAGCCUCUGUCUGGAUGAUGCUGAGGAAAUGGUCACAGAAUCGCAGGUGUGAAAGGCGUCAGGCCAGAACCUCCCUCCCCAGGACUUGGUUUUGCUCCUGCUCAAAUGUGAUCAUCGUGUCUACUGUGCUUCAUGUUUCCCUGAUAUAUGGAAUCUACUUUUCCUUCUACUUGUCCUUCUUCCUCUCAAAUUACAACUUAUAUUCCUAUAGAUCUCCAUACUGCUUAGGGGAAACAAAAUAUUAAACUUAUAGCAGGGGGUGGGGCAAAUGGACUUUAACAGAGACUGCUGAUCAUUAAAAAGGAAGCCUGGUAGUUUAAAUAAAGAUCUAAUUAGUAAGAUGUGUUUGGAGACCUUCUGACCUGUCUCUAGAAGACAGAGUUAACUUUUAUCAUUUUCUUGAUAUUCUGCGUGCUCCUCCCCUCGUAUCCCAAGUAUUUACCUAUAAACCUAUCUUAUAAACAGCCUCAUUACCACUUAACUCUGGGUUAAGUUUCUGGAAGAGGUAGAACAAUCAAGGGCCUGACAGUUCUAGAAAAAUACUCUUCACUUAGCACUUUUCACAUUCCAACACUCCAUAUCCAAUCACUGAUGACACAGGAUGUGGAAAAAGCCGGAACUCCUAAUACUGCCACAAGUAAAGCAAAUGCUAUUGAUUGCAUCAAUCAGCUACUGGAUUUGUACCAGAUAUCAGAGCAAUCUGGAAACUUAACUGGAAAGGAAUUUAAGUCAACAGCAUUCAUGAUGAAUAGACAAGAGCUGUUUCCCUUUUAAGAGAGAUCAUUUACAAAGGAGGGAGGGGUAGAAAAACAGAAGAAAAUCCAGUUGAAACUCAGCAUUUACUUAAAAAGGAGCCAGAAGAAUGCAGGGCACAAAGAGUUUCACGGCACAGAGGGAGGCAGCAGUCAGAAGGCUUCCUUGGUACUAUUCAGCUUCUUUGAUUUCAGUUGAAAAAAGGAAUUGCUGAUCAAUAAAAUAAUGACAAGAAAACCUACUGGAGAGGUAGAAUGUGUCAUGAGGAAAAGAUCUCUAAGAUUUCUUCGUGAUGGCCACCCUUUCUGGGGUAUAUAAAAAUAUGAACCAAGUGCUUAGCUUCACCCCAGGUACAGGAUGAAACAAAGAGCUGAACUAGGAACUGGAUGCCCAGUUCCUGAAGUAACACCACUACCAAACAAUUCUGGGAACUUGGGUGGAUGACUCCACACCUCAAAAUCUGGUCCUCUCAGCAUCUUAGAGAAAAGAUACUGCCAUGUUACAUGAGUCAACUGCAAAACGAAUGAAGAAGGUUACAGUAUUCCUGAGGAAAACUCACC